UUAUAGUGUUUUAGUUUAUUAGUAAAAGAAAUUUAUUUUCUAGUAAUGGUUUGAAGUUGUUAGUUGAAGUUCUGUAAAGGUUUUACUAUAUAAAAAUAGAAGAAGAUCGUACCUUUUGUAUCAGGGUUUAAUAACUAAGAUAAAGGAUUUUAAUGUCCCGAAAAAAUGGGAGCUAUAAAAUAAUAAAAUUUACAUGGUAAAGUAGGUAUAAAUUAGUUUAUUGAAGUGAAAAGCUAUUCGCCCAUUUUGAUAGCUGGUUUCUCGAGAAAAACACAAACUGUUGGAUAAUAUUUAAUUAGUAGGAGACAAGUCCUAUUAUUGUAAGUUUCUAUCAUUAAUUAUUAUUAGAAGAGUAAAAUUAUCUUAAAUUUUAUCAUUAAGUUAAAAUUUUAAAACAAGACUAAUUAAUAAUCGAGAUUUCUAUUAAAUGUAUUAAUAGCAAUAAUAUUGUUAAAAUAAGUAGAAACAACUUAAAUAGAUGGAAUAUUUAAUAAAGGCUAAGUAACUCGUCUAAAACUUCUGGUCUGUUUAUCAAAAACAUAUUUUUUAGAAAUGAUUAAAAAUGAGUCCUGCUCAAUGUAAAAUAAAUAGCCGCGGUAUUUUGACCGUGCAAAGGUAGCAUAAUAAUUAGUCUUAUAAUUUAAGACUGGGAUGAAGGGGUAAACCAGGAAGUUUCUUUCUUAGUUUUUUCUUUUGAAUUUUACUUUUUAGUAAAAAGGCUAAAAUGUCUCUUUUAGACAAGAAGACCCUAUAAAGCUUUACAUAAAAUAAUUUAAAAAAUUAAAAACAUGUUUCACUGGGGCGGUGGAAAGAUAAAACACUUUUAGAGGGCUAAAAUAAAACUAUUUUAAUACCCAAAAAUUUUGAAACUUAAAUAAGUUACUUUACGGAUAACAGCGUAAUGUGUUUCGAAAGUUCAAAUUGACAAACAUGUUUGCGACCUCGAUGUUGGAUUAAGCUUCCUCUAUCCCGCAAGAGGGAUAAAAGGGGGUCUGUUCGACCCAUAAAAGUUUCCAUGAUCUGAGUUCAAAUCGGCGUAAGCCAGAUUGGUUUCUAUCUAAAGAAUAAAAUUAAAUAAGUUAGUACGAAAGGACCACUUAAUUAGAAAAUUUCUAUUGAAGAGAAAAUUUUA
rnacentral:rRNA from 1 species